AACCCAACAGCAAGUAUCCAUCGUUUACGGCGUGGACUACCAGGGUAUCUAAUCCUGUUCGCUCCCCACGCUUUCGUCCAUCAGCGUCAGUUGAUGUUUAGUCACCUGCCUUCGCAAUUGGUGUUCUGCGUAAUAUCUAAGCAUUUCACCGCUACACUACACAUUCCAGCAACUUCAACAUCACUCAAGACUAACAGUAUCAAUGGCAGUUUCAUAGUUAAGCUAUGAGAUUUCACCACUGACUGAUUAAUCCGCCUACGGACCCUUUAAACCCAAUAAAUCCGGAUAACGCUUGCACCCUCCGUAUUACCGCGGCUGCUGGCACGGAGUUAGCCGGUGCUUAUUCUUCUGGUACCUUCAGCUACUUACACGUAAGUAGGUUUAUCCCCAGAUAAAAGUAGUUUACAACCCAUAAGGCCGUCAUCCUACACGCGGGAUGGCUGGAUCAGGCUUCCACCCAUUGUCCAAUAUUCCUCACUGCUGCCUCCCGUAGGAGUCUGGUCCGUGUCUCAGUACCAGUGUGGGGGUUCACCCUCUCAGGCCCCCUAAAGAUCAUCGUCUUGGUGAGCCGUUACCUCACCAACUAACUAAUCUUACGCAUGCCUAUCCUACUGCGAUAAAUCUUUCAAAAUCUAAUGAUGCCAUUAAAUCUGUUAUAAAGUAUUAAUCCUCCUUUCGAAGGGCUAUCCUUUUCAGUAGGGCAAGUUGCAUACGCGUUACGCACCCGUGCGCCGGUCUCUAGUUAGCAAGCUAACUAUACCCCUCGGCUUGCAUGUGUUAAGCCUCCCGCUAGCGUUCAUCCUGAGCCAUGAUCAAACUC
rnacentral:rRNA from 1 species